UAACGUCAGGAGUGGAAAAUAUUGACAGGUGGUUGACUGAGUGAAAAUACACGCUAUAAAUAGAGUCAUCUGGGACAAACUAGGGAAAGUUGAGCUGAGCCUCAGUGUUGAACGUAGAUCAUUCAGUCGCUCUGAUCCUGAAUUUGUAUUCUGUGCUUCGUUGCCGAAUAAACAAGCAUGCCUUCCUCCAAGUGGAAGAUAGCUGCACUCUUCACGCUUACUUUUUGUUUGUUGGUGCUUCCAAAAGGAUCCCAUGGCGGCACUGUUCUUGUGAGCCCAUGCAAAGUGGAUUGCAACCGCAGCCAACGGGAAAAAGACCAAUGCUGCCAGGCCCAUAACCAUCUCUCUUUUGCGAGCUGUACUGUAGGCCAAGACGACUUCCUUUGUAAUACAAAAUAAUGUUGUUUGGGUUUGUGAACGUUUCCGAUUCGUAUUUACAAAUUAAAAUGUUAUCAUUCCAGUGAUAA